UNANNNUUGAGNGUCAGUCUCAUGGCCCUUACGAGUAGGGCUACACACGUGCUACAAUGGCAUAUACAAAGAGAAGCGACCUCGCGAGAGCAAGCGGACCUCAUAAAGUAUGUCGUAGUCCGGAUUGGAGUCUGCAACUCGACUCCAUGAAGUCGGAAUCGCUAGUAAUCGUGGAUCAGAAUGCCACGGUGAAUACGUUCCCGGGCCUUGUACACACCGCCCGUCACACCAUGGGAGUGGGUUGCAAAAGAAGUAGGUAGCUUAACCUUCGGGAGGGCGCUUACCACUUUGUGAUUCAUGACUGGGGUGAAGUCGUAACAAGGUAACCGUAGGGGAACCUGCGGUUGGAU
rnacentral:rRNA from 1 species